UGGUGGCGGCCGGCAGGCGGUGGGGGAGACCUUCCGUGAACUGGCCUUUGCUCCGCCGAGACGACCACCCCUUAGCCGCAGGGGCGCCCGGUGUUUUUCUGCUUUGAUUUCUGAGGCUACUGACGCCCCGAGCGGAGCCGGCAUCUCCAGACCAGGCCGUGGAGCUGCAGCGAGAAGAAUGUGCCUGCUUUGGCUGUGGAUCGCGAGCGCCCGGGCCGCAAAGAUUCAGGGAGAGGUGGGGACGACACGUCAAAGACAUUAUGAGGAAGAAGAUGAAACUCAAAGGUAAGAUUUAUAAACAUAUGCUCCCUGCUCUUAGAUUAAGUGUCCCUGAAGACUUCAACCUAAAGUGGAUCCCUGUAAGUCAAAAUCCUGAUCUUGCACAUGCUGAUGUCUUCUAUUUGGAUACCAGUGGGAAUUGUUAAGUGACUAUGUAAAUCUGACGACAGUGAAGCACAAGCAUUUAUUUGAGAGUGCUGACUAGGGGGAGGUGCAAAAUGUGAAGUAGUAACAAAUGAAAACUGCCUGUAGACAGAGAGGAAUGACAAGGAUACAUUCAGGCAUGUACUGAAGUCAUAAAAUGUAAGUACACUGUACAAAUAAUACACAUUCUGAGGCCUGGAUUCAAAUCCUAUCAGUGACAAUUAUAAUUGUGUAAUCUAGGUGAAGUCACUUACCCUUCCUGUCUUGUCCCCACAGUGCUACCUUACGGGGUUGUUGCAAGAAUUAAAUGAAAUGAUAUGUGCAAAUAGUGCCUGGACACAAUGAGCUCAGUAUAAAUGUUAGUCAUUGGUACCACCCCAUCAUUAUUAUUGUUGUUUUGGAGAAUUACAUGAGCAAGGGCAAGAGGGCAUGUAGAAUGUAUAAAGCACCAACAGGGAAGGUCUCCUUGAGACCUGGUGGAAUCUGAGUUGGGCUUUUAAGUAUAGAACUUAUAAUGAUGGAACUAGGCAGUGAUUCUGGGUGUAGGAAAUAGAAUGAAGCAAAGUUCACAGAAAAAAAAAAGUUGGAGAUGUGAGGAAGUCAAGUGGCAGGUAUGAUGUUUUGGGAUGGUAGUGAUAAGGAUAGAAGGGAAAACAAUCUCAGGGUCUGGCAGCUAUUUAGAUGUGGCAAAUGAGGGAGAACGAGGGGACAUGUAUAACCUAAAUAUAAGUUGGGCAUCCAAAUGGCUCAGUCUCAAAGCAUCAAUGAACUGAUAAACAGUCUAGCAACCAAAACUAUUUUAAAACCAAUUCAAAAUUUUGCUUGCCAUUCUUCAAGAACAUUAAAAAGCAAAAGUUUUAGGAACAAUUCUUAAAUUUCCCUUUCCUCUCCUAAUUCUUACAUUUCAUCAGCUCUGGUACUUGUCACUCUCUUAACCCUUCACUUUCCAUUUCUUCUGUUCUAAAAUGGACAUGAAGCCCUUGUCUCUUUUUGUUUCCUUUCCUCUUUUCCUCCUUUCCUUCUGCCUCUUCAGUCUUCUCUCUUCUUAUCCAUACCCCUCAUUUUGAAUCAUGAAGCCUAGAGACCAUCCUGGAAAAGGCGGGAAUUUCCUUAGAGGUCAGGCUUAGCAAAGCCAUCAAAGAUAAUAUUCUCUUCAUGGUGGGUGGUAGAGGGGUUUAUGUUGUGGCAGAGAGGUUCUAUGUGAACACUCUCAUGUUAAUACAUUUUUAAAUCAUCCAAGAUAAGAGUAAUAUUUUGAGCCUUGGUGAUGGGAUAAUGGGGGAUAUGUCAUUACAGAAAUAGGGAAACCAAGGAAUGGAAGACCUUUGGGGGCAAGAUGUGGAGACUGGAACUGAGCAUGGAUUGGAGCUACAGUAUCAUUCAAGGAAUAAGUAGACAGAAACCUGGACAAAUUGAUUGGGAAUUCAGAUAGAUUUGGGCAUUAUCCCUACAGGAGUGAUAGUUGAAGGUAUAGGAACGAGUGAGAAGAGAAAUAUAGAGGACAUAAAGAGAAAGAUGAGAGUUAAGGAUGGAAGUGUGGAAAAUACCUACAUUUCAGGAUAGAAGUUAAUAAGUGAAUUCAGGGAAGAAUAGUCCUGGUGUCUAGGACUCACACAGAUGAAUUCCACCAGAAUCUCUGGAAGUGGGCUUUAUGAAUUAACAUUGUUGACACCUUCCUCAGCAAUUCCAUGUGCAGCCAGGUUGAGAGCCACUGCUCUGGUGGUUAUGUGAUGCUUAAUGGUUUUCAGGGUUGUGGGGGAAAGCAGUUGGUAAGGAAUGAAGUCCUAGUUUUUUGGAUUUAGAAGCCAGAAACUCUACCAUUCUCAUUUUGCUGAGGAACCCAGGGCACCAAGAGACUAACUGUGUGACCUUGAACAAGAAACUGAAUGGCUUCCCACCUCAUGCUUACCUCUCAGUGCCACAGACACACUCCUCUCCCUCAUCCUCACCUGCUCCUCCCCACCACAGCCCAAGUCCUGCCCUGAGACUCCCAAGGCUGGGCAAUCUGCCAAAGGCUCUCCAUUCAGAAAUUUUUUUUUUUUUUUUAUUAAAGUGUGGUGGAUUUACAAUGUUGUGCCACUUUCUGCUGCACGGCAAGGCAGAUUUUUUUUUUUAACUUUUUAGGAAAAAAGGGUCUUUUUGGUUGUGCCCAUGGCAUGUGGAAGUUCCCGGGCUAGGAAUCGAACCCGCCUGAGCCAUAGCAAUGACAAUGCCAGAUCCUUGACCCUCUGAGCCACCAGGGAAUUCCAAGAUUUUAGAACACCUUUCUGACAGAUUAAAGGCUCACCUGAGGUCUCUUCAGCAGCAGCAGACAAGACCACGCUAUCGGAGGAAACCCAUUAAGAGGGUUUCUCAUAGCUUUGUGAGCCUGGAGAGAAGGUUAACCACUAGAGAAAAUGGCAGGGGGGAUCCUUUAUUUUGGGGUACUGGAGAAGCCCUGGCUUCUAGCACCCUCCCCUCCUCUCAGGCUCUGGCAGCCCCCUCCGUGCUGUUUAUGAAUUGGCGUCGAAGUCUGGGGCUGCCGUGGUAAGGCUGCCAGCGCUGAGAAGGACGCAGCAUUUGUGGGAAUUCUGUGACUCCAGAAGGCGAAAGAAGGCACAUGAACUUUAUAUAAAAAGUAGAAAGCACAGAUAAACAAGAAGCUGCUGAGAUCUUACGACCCAGUAAGAGACAAUUACUCCUAAAUUUUGGUCCCCUUCUUGAAGGUCUGCCAUGCUUUGUGUUAUUCUUCAAAAUCAGUCUUUGACAAUUUGCUGGAUAAAUAAAAGAAAG
rnacentral:lncRNA from 1 species